UACGAAGGGGGCUAGCGUUGCUCGGAAUCACUGGGCGUAAAGCGCACGUAGGCGGAUUGUUAAGUCGGGGGUGAAAUCCUGGAGCUCAACUCCAGAACUGCCUUCGAUACUGGCGAUCUCGAGUCCGGGAGAGGUGAGUGGAACUCCGAGUGUAGAGGUGAAAUUCGUAGAUAUUCGCAAGAACACCAGUGGCGAAGGCGGCUCACUGGCCCGGUACUGACGCUGAGGUGCGAAAGCGUGGGGAGCAAACAGG
rnacentral:rRNA from 1 species